rnacentral:rRNA from 1 species
GUGGCGAACGGGUGAGUAACACGUGGGCAAUCUGCCCUGCACUCUGGGACAAGCCCUGGAAACGGGGUCUAAUACCGGAUAUGACCACUAGGGGCAUCCCUUGGUGGUGUAAAGCUCCGGCGGUGCAGGAUGAGCCCGCGGCCUAUCACCUUGUUGGUGAGGUAACGGCUCACCAAGGCAACAACGGGUAGCCGGCCUGAAAGGGCGACCGGCCACACUGGGACUGAAACACGGCCCAAACUCCUACGGGAGGCAGCAGUGGGGAAUAUUGCACAAUGGGCGAAAGCCUGAUGCACCGACCCCGCGUGAGGGAUGACGGCCUUCGGGUUGUAAACCUCUUUCACCAGGGAAAAAGCGAGAGUGACGGUACCUGCAAAAAAAGCGCCGGCUAACUACUUGCCACCAGCCGCGGUAAUACGUAGGGCGCAAGCGUUGUCCGGAAUUAUUGGGCGUAAAGAGCUCGUAGGCGGCUUGUCACGUCGGUUGUGAAAGCCCGGGGCUUAACCCCGGGUCUGCAGUCAAUACGGGCAGGCUAAAGUUCGGUAGGGGAGAUCGGAAUUCCUGGUGUACCGGUGAAAUGCGCAAAUAUCAGGAGGAACACCGGUGGCGAAGGCGGAUCUCUGGGCCGAUACUGACGCUGAGGAGCGAAAGCGUGGGGAGCGAACAGGAUUAGAUACCCUGGUAGUCCACGCCGUAAACGGUGGGCACUAGGUGUGGGCAACAUUCCACGUUGUCCGUGCCGCAGCUAACG